CAACACGAGCCUAUUAAAAAAAAUGCCAAAAAAUUUAUCACCUCUAAUAACCUCAAAGCUUUGCAAAAUUUAAAGAUUCCAUAACACCAAUAAGUUACCUGAAGCCCCAAUAGAGUCCACUCCUUCAAAAUAUACAGCCCCAGAGCCCCAAGCUUCCCUCACUCCAAUUAGACUAGGGUUAGGAAGUAUAGUUUCUUGUAAAAUUAAAAUAUCAGGUUUAUACUUCCUUACUAAAAAUAACACAUCCCGCUUCCUACAAGUAUCCCUCAAGCCCCUUUCAUUCCAAUUUAAAAUGAUCAUUAUGAGGGGGAAGAAGUAGGACCUGGACCAUCAAGGGGUGACCCAAAAUACUACUGCUCCAACAUAAACGCAAUCUCCAUAGACGACGGGCUUGAAGACGAGUCCGACUCGGCACUACCAAUCUCCACCAGUGUAUCAUCAGUAACAUUAGUUCGAUUAAUCACCACGGUAGUACCCCUCGAAGCAAGCCUCGAUGAAGAUCUAGUGGGAGCAGUCUGCUUGCCUUAAGCUUCUUCGGCCUUGAAGGCAAAGGCAUCCUCUCAGGGCUAAAAGCAACUUCCUUAUCAGCAACAUUCAGCUCUUUCUCCGCAGCUUGUGGCUUCACAUCCUCUUUCAUCUUUGUUAAUUUCUCUGCCUUUUUCUACCAUCAUGGUCCAGCCCCAUACGAUCCAUCAUAUUUUCAUUAUUGCUGUCCUCUACCUCAGGAAGAGCAGUAAGGGCAGGAACCUCUUCUUCUUGAAGAAUAACAUUAAGAGGAGGGCUCCAACUCCACCAAAGCCAGGUUUCGAUUAGAGGGGAGCAUCCUGACCAUCACCAAUACAGCCCAAAAUUUCCAAACCCGGAUCCAAUCCUUCCUCUUUUGACUCGACCAAUAAAGGAUCAAAG
rnacentral:lncRNA from 1 species